rnacentral:snoRNA from 1 species
CUGGGAUGAACCUUUUAGAUGACGAGUCUGAACACUCUGCCGCGAGGCUUCCUCUACGCGAGCACAUGACGAGUCUUUCUUUAAUAUACCAUUCAUGCAUUUCUGAUC